CCCGGCCUUCGCCAGCACCGACACCACCCGCCCGUUCAUGGACGCGCGCAGCUUGCCGUCCGAUCCGGCGCCACCCGCCUUCAUCACGGCGACAUGGGACAGAUCGUGCACAUGCGACGUGACGCCAGCGAAACUGAAAUAGAGAUCAGCNNNNNNNNNNNAACGCCGUCGCUGGUAAAAUGCACCAUAUCGCCGUCGCGCGGCCCAAGCGUCAGCGCGUGUUCGGACUCGGCGAUGCCGAUCUUGAAGACGUCGCCGCGUUCGCGCCGCACCGUCGG
rnacentral:misc_RNA from 1 species